rnacentral:lncRNA from 1 species
UUACAAUGAGGCUGCCUCUUUAUUUAUAGAGGAGAGCCUUAGGUUUUACAGCAGCAGCAACAAGACAAAGGAGAGAUUAAACUAAUACUAUCCUAGGAAAUGAAUAAACAAAGCUAUUAGGAAGCAGCCAAGGAGGAUGAGAACAAGAAGAGGCACGACCAGAUGAGGAGAAAGGGACAGGAGAGAGGUUGGCACAGCUUGCUUGAGUGAAAGUGACAGGCCAGUUGCUUCUCCAAAGCCACCCAUGUGACUUCUUCUUGUCUAAUUCAAACCAGCCUCUUUUAUUUAAAUUCAAACAUGUUUCCUUGACUUCUCAGACCUUCCCCACGUCCAUAUUAAGUCUACACAACUCCAUUCUUGCCUUGCAAGGUAAGUUAGGUCAAGAUGGUAGCUUGUGGAUCAAGUCUGAAUGGACCAACUUCCAUUUCAAGUCAAUGCAGCAUCUUUUCUUCUACUUGCCUUGAAUCCAUAAUGGCUUGCUUCUUGUUUCAUUUGUUGGCUCCUUUCCUUGUUGCACAAGUCUUGAAUACUUGUAACACACUUCAUGACUCUACAGCCUCCUUCUCUUCUUGCACACACGCCUUGAUCAUCUUUUCAUUGUCUUGGCCGUGUGAUCCUUCUCUUGAGGCUUGUUCAUGGCUUGGAUAGCUUCUUCUUCUUUAGUUUGGUGUGGAGAUGCUUGGCCUUCACUUCCUUUGUUUGGCCUUCACAUCUCCUUGUCUUGCUUCACUCUA